AUUGAACGCUGGCGGCAGGCAUAACACAUGCAAGUCGAACGAGUGGCGGACGGGUGAGUAAUGUCUGGGAAAGUGCCUGAUGGAGGGGGAUAACUACUGGAAACGGUAACUAAUACCGCAUACCAUCGGAGGUGCCCAAGUGGGAUUAGCUAGUAGGUGGGGGAAAGGCUCACCUAGGUGACGAUCCCUAGCUGGGCUGAGAGGAUGACCAGCCACACUGUAACUGAGCCACGGUCCAGACUCCUACGGGAGGCAGCAGUGGGGAAUAUUGCACAAUGGGCGCAAGCCUGAUGCAGCCAUGCCUCGUGUAUGAAGAAGGCCUUCGGGUUUUAAAGUACUUUCAGCUGGGAGGCGUUACCCGCAGAAGAAGCACCGGCUAACUCCGUGCCAGCAGCCGCGGUAAUUC
rnacentral:rRNA from 1 species